AGCUGGUUUUUUUUUCUUAAAGUUCUAUCUGUUGGUUCUGUAAGUAAACAUGUGUUUCUUUUGCUGUAAUGAUAUAAUUAUUUUUAUCUGCUUUAUUUUUAAGGAAAUGAGUUUUUAGCCACAUAAUGAUAAUAGUGAUACACAAUGCCUGAUCAGGACAAAAAGUUGAGGAGCACAGAAAAAGCAACAGACAGAAAACCUCAUGGGAUCUCUAUGAGGGAUUACUCUGACCUGAAAAGACUUCAGUCUCUCUUGAAUGUUCAGUCAAGGAACGAACAGCUUCCAGCUAUAUAUUUUGGAAGUGUUCAUACCAGUGUGACAAGAGAUUGUCAAAAAGUGAAAAGCAAUGGACAAAACCCCAGUGGUCAAUGGUAAGAAUCAACAGUGUGACCUACAAGAAUGAGAAAAAUUUGAGCAAACAUCCCAAACAUAGGCUAUUUCAAGAUAUCUUUAUGGCUUUAGUCAAGAACAGACUUACCCACAGGUCAGUAUAUCGAACACAUUCAUAUCCAAGAAGGAGGUCCACUCCUGCUUCCCUUAAGGGAAGAAUGAAGAUGCAUGGAUAAUAUUUCAUGUUGUUUCAACAAUGUGUAUGGCAUGUAUGUUUCAACAAUACAAUUCUGUGUGGAAACCACCUGCUGCACAUCUCUUCAUAACCUCAGUUUUAAACAACUGCUUCUGUAUGGGCUUUGGGAAGCAAAUGCUCAGGAAAUGGAUUAUUCAAGCUCUAUCCAUCCAUUUUCUUAGAGUAUUGAUCUGCCUGAGAUUAUUAAUAAGGGUUCCAUGCUAUCAGG